UAAACCUUGAUUGUUACUUCAAACUGUCUAGGUAUGCUUGAUUACAUGAUAUGGCCCUGGAUGGAGAGACUACCAUGCAUCCCCUUAAGGAACCCCAACAUUUCAUUGCCUGAUUGUGACCUUGAUGCAUGGGUUAAGGAAAUGUGGAGUACUGAAGCAGUUUCUAAGUAUGGACUCACUCCUGAACAGCAUAUGACAUUCUUAGCUGAGUACAGAAAGGGGGACGAUUGCAACUAUGAUAUUUUGCUCAAAUAGAGAUUGCAAUUUUGAAAUUUACUUUAAUAAAAGGAGUUGCAACAAUGAUGAUGUACUCAAGAAAAAAUGAAAUUUGUGAAAUUAUAAUUUGUUUUAUUAAAAAAUAUUGCAUUUACUUUCAAUCAUUAUGAUUUUUAUUCAACAUCAAAUAAAAGAAUGAUAUGUA